UACGGAGGGUGCAAGCGUUGCUCGGAAUUAUUGGGCGUAAAGGGUAGGUAGGUGGUCUCAUUUGUCUGGGGUGAAAGCCUUGAGCUUAACUCAAGAAGUGCCUCAGAAACGGUGAGACUAGAGUCCUGGAGAGGGUCGUGGAAUUCCCGGUGUAGCGGUGAAAUGCGUAGAGAUCGGGAGGAACACCUGAGGCGAAGGCGGCGACCUGGACAGGCACUGACACUCAACUACGAAAGCGUGGGGAGCAAACAGG
rnacentral:rRNA from 1 species